rnacentral:snRNA from 1 species
UAAAUACGGGCGAGAGACCG